AGAAUCCCAUAGCCAUCAAAGCCUAUCAAAAGGAAUAAAUCAUCAUUGACAUGCCUUGGAGAACUAAGAGAAAGAGUUGCCAGUGGUGGGGAUCCAACAAAACUGCGUGAACCACCAGUUAUACAUGACCUUCCAUCUGAUGAACAUGGUAUCUACCUUACACUUUAUUACCAAGGUCUCAACAUACAUUAGU